AAAGGAUAUGUUUAAAAACAAAGGGCGACCUUAUCACUACAGUGAACUCUUCCAGGCAACCCAUACUUAAGAACUUAUAGAACUGUAAGACGGAGAGCCGCAAUGCAACUAUAUACAUAGGUAUACAUAAACAUACACUCUAAUAGGUAAUUCUUAUACUAUAAAAUAAUAAUAUAAUAA